rnacentral:tRNA from 1 species
CCUUUCGUAGCUCAACUGGAUAGAGCGCCGGUCUAGUAAACUGGAGGUUGCAGGUUCGAGUCCCGCCGGGAGAU